AAGAAAUAAUGUAUACAUAAAUGUUAAAUACACAAAACAGGUAAUCAAAAAUCUAGACCAUGUCAAAUAAACCUAGUAGUAGCAUAAUUGAUAGUAAUAAUACAUGGCUCAACUUUUUAAGCACCUUCUCAAAACUGUUCUGAAGCAUGCUUUUUGUUUAUGUUUGUUGACAGACACUGCUAUAAGUCAAAAGGCCAUAAUCUGGCCAAAAAAUAAAGUGAUAACAAAAAUAAAAGAGUUCACUCAUAUUACACAGCCUGCUUCUCAUAACUUCUCAUAAAUUAUGCUUUUGAAAUGGUCUGUUUUCCCCUGCCAUCAUUUCGGUUGAAGCUGUGUGUGAACAAGGCACGACUGCAGAGUCUGAGUUAUGCCGCUUUUCCACCGAAAUUACUCGGAACAAUUUAUGUCCAAACUUAAGGGUAAUGUAUUUGAAUUGCAUAUAAAUAUUCCAUCCAUUUGGAUUACAUAGUUUCAACAUAAAUAAUGAACUGAAUGUGAUAUUUGCCAGUCAUACGUAAAUGAAACAGGUAAGAUUUAUGUAAUUGAACACAGCAAAACACCCAUGUUAAAUGAACACUGCCCAGUGUAGUGGACAAUCUGGUCAGUAAUAAGUGAAGCUAGUAAUGCUGUUUGUGGAGUUGUGUAAGAAUUGUGGAGACAUGUAAUGUCUUUUAUCUUCAGUUGAUUUCAUCUGAGGCUGAAAGCCAGUUGUAGUUCUUGUGUUCCUCUUUUUUCUGUUCUUAUUGUUCCUCUGUCCUUCAGGGCUUCUGCUUGUUAACAGCAGGUGUUCAUCAGUAAUCUUCAAUCAUCACUUAAUGAACCACUUAAUUAUCUAAUUAGCCUCAACACUGAUUCAGUGUUACCUUUUCACACUCUGAGUGUGGACUCAUAUAAACGCCAACAGUGUUAAUUUAACACUGAGGAUUUUGCUGGGUAUACCCGAGCCUUUAUGAUGGUGGAAUGGCAAUCUGCUUGCCACAACAACGCUUGGCUGCUCGCAAAUGCACCUGCCUAUUAAUCUGCCAAAUUUGCAGCACAAUCAGCCAAUGCUGAUUAAUAAAAAAAUAUUGGCAGGUCAUUUGGUUGACCUCUAAGUGGGACACAUGAGACUCAACAGAGAUAGAUGAAGAACAUGUUUUGUGUGUAGGUCUGCAGAAGAGAGACUAAAAUGUGCACAUUUUUCCGAUAAUUUAGUUUCAUUCAAUCAAUUAAUUGUCAAUCAAAUGUAUUAAUGUGUGAAUGUUAAUUAACUGUUUUAUUUUCAGAUUCCUCCAUGAUCAUCAUUAUUUGUGUGUGUGUCAUUCUGCUGCUGAUUGGUGGAUUCACUCUGACUGUGUGUAAAUUAAGACACAAGAGACGAGGAAGAACCUCAACAUCAGAAAAGAGAAAGAGAGAGAAAAAUACAAUGUCAUUAUGUGCAGACAGCAGGUGUGAUUUUCACACAGAUCCUGGAUCAGUUCAAAUUAACAGUCCUGAAGAACUAACCACAAUCCCUUCUGAUGGGCUCCUGUUCACAUCUGUCAGUUUCCAGAAGCAUGAAGAGUCUCUCAGUGACGCUACAGUCUCCUUCAGUAAGGACCAGAUUCACUCUGAUUACACCACGGUCAUUUACCGCAUUAGACUCAACUAACUCACUUAUAACAGAUCACAGAUCAGCACACUUUACUAACAGUAUUGCUUACAUUUACAGUUCAUUGAUAAAAAUCUCUUUAUAUUCCACAGAUUAGUGUUAAAGACAUGUUUUAUUGAUCAGGUUCGUUCAGUCUGUUGAAUCAUGAGACACUCUAUUUUCUGCUACUGAUCAUGUUUCUUCUUUCACAUGUUUAAAAUAGCAGUUGUGUCAAAGGUUUACUGGUGUGUGUACAGAGUUUGUCAUCUCAGUUUAUCUGAGGGUGUGAUAAAAACAGGAAAUAAAACCACUGAGUGACACUUAUAGAAUAAACUGUAAAGUUUCCACUCCAAACACAGAGACACUAUAGUUAAUAAAGUCUCUUUAACAGCAGCUGUUUAAAUGUUUUCUCUUUCUCGUCUCUCUGAAUAUUGAUUCUCUUUGACCUGCUUUUGUUUUGUACAUGCAAGAGACUUUUGCUGAUGUUGUUUUUAGUUCAUUCUUGCUCUGUUGGAACUGAGGUCAUUUUUUAUGAUGUAAGAGUUUUACUGUAUAAUAAUAUAUUUUAUUCACUGAAAAAUAAACAUUUAUAUUUUCUGCUUA